GGGGGCAAUACUUGUACUCUCCUGGAUCCUCUGGCAGUUUGUUACCUUGCCAACUGGUAUGCUGGAGUUUAAGCUGCAAGGGUCUUCGUGGGCUGAGAAUGAGGAAGAGCGUGCAGGCAGCUGAUACUAACAAGGUCCCUGGAGUAAUUUAUUAGUGUCUCUGGUCUCCUCUUAUUUGACAGAAGAUGGAACGGAAAAUGUUCAUUCCUCCUGAUAAGAGACACAUACUUAGUGGAUUAUGUAUUCUAACCUGAUUCAUCCUUAUUAUAGCUGUUCCUACACCCACUGAUUCUGACUUAAGACAUGUGCAGGCCCUUUCAACUGGUCCAAGUCCCUUUCUAGUUGUCAUCCUUGUUCUUCUUUGCCUUUUUGCCAGUUUUCUUGGGGAGGGAGUUAUAGCCAGAGCUUCCACAUCCUUCCCUCCAAUCCCUUUAUAAUCCAAUUUUCUCCCUUAUCUUCUACCAAGUGCUUCUUUAAAAAUUCACCCAUGACAAGCUAUAGCUCAGUGACAUUCACUGGGUUCUCAUUUCCCUUGACUCUUCUGUUGCCCAUCUCCCAUAGCCUGGCUCUGCCCCCCCCACACACACACUGGGCCCUUUGAUUGUGCCCCCUUUCUAUUCCAGUCUUUACAUCUGGGCCCCUUAUCAUUAGGUCUUGGCUUUCUGUCCUUCUCUCUUUCCUAGGCUCUCUUUAGUCUCAUAGCUCUAAGAAUCAUCUCUAAACCUUACCAUCACCAUCCUCAGUGACGUUGGAAAAGGCCCAGAAGCCUACAGGAAUGUUCCUCCAACUGCAGACUGCACCACAUGGCUGGAGGCAGCAAGCAAGGGAAGGAAUGGGGAGCUAGGUGUCUCAUGACCCAAAGCUGGGAAAUUCACACUUGAUCAAUGGGAAAAGUCUGCUUUUUAAGUUUUAAUGUGCACAACAAUCACUUGAGGAUCUUGUUAAAGUGCAGGUUCAGUGGUUCUGGAGUGGGGCCUGUUAUUCUGCAUUUUUACUAAGCUCCCAAAUGGUAAUGUACCAUACUUUGAGAAGCAAGAGAUGCAACCACACUUACUUACUCCUACUGACAGAUUUUAGGAGAUUUUCUGUGUUGCUUUUGCAUCUACCUAGAAUGUGAUCACCUUGAAGGCCAGGAUUCUGUUGCUUGCAUCUUUGUAUAUCUGACAAUGAGUUUUUCUAGGUAUCACUCUAAAUAGUUAAUGGGACCCACAACUGAACUGUUGACAAAAUAAUUUUUUAGCUUUGCUUUACAAAUACUAAUUUAGGGGUCAAGGUGUAGCUCAACAGCACCAUGCCUGCCUGGCAAGCAUGAGGUCCUGAGUUUGAUUCCUGAUUCCUGCUCCUCAAAAAAUUUAGAGUUGCAGUAAAGCUCCUAUGCAAGAACUGAGAAAUCAAAUUGAACCGUCUCUCCAAACAUUAAUUUAUCUUCUAAUUACAAAUGUGAGGUAAGUGGAUACUUUAAUUUGAAAAACACCCUAUACAUAGAAACCAAGAAAGGUGAGUGACUUUCCAAGUAGUGGGUGACUUUUCCAGAAUCAAAUCCACUGGCCCUUGUUCACACAGGUCUCCAGGAAACCAGAGGAGGAGUGCAUUUGAACACUGCUUUGCUUGGGUCCUUGCUUAACCAUUCAAGAUGAUGUACUACUCACCCUCUGCUUCUCAUUGAUUCUUUCCUGCCUUAGUAGGAGACUGUCCCAUCUCUGUCUCCAUUUUUCUGAAGGGCAUUCAGGAGCCCCCAGGAGCUGCAAGCUCCAUGUUAGGAGGCCAGAUGCCUGCUGCUGAGGUGAGUGAAAGGUUGGGAAGCAGACAGCUGGGCCAGCCUACACGCCAGAAACGCCCACACACAUCUUUACAGCUGUUCUCAGCAGUGUGGCCUAGGAGCGCCUUUUAGAAGACAUUAUGAAGACAGAGUGGGGUGAGGGGAGAAACCCACAGAAAUUAUAGAGCAGUAAGCACCCCAGCAUAGCAUCCUAUGUAUCUCGACUCAGCUUCUGAAACAGAAUCUUUGCUUUUAGUGAUUUCUCCCAUGGCCUUAAAAAUAAAAGCCAUUCUAGUCUCUAAAGUAGGUCACACAGGGAGGGGGAGAGAGGGAGGCACAAGCUGAUAAAUGCAGAUGGCAAGGCACUUUCACCCUUUUCCAAACCAGAAAUAAAACUUGGAAAUUGUCUGAAGAAUAUGAGGACUAUAGCUUAAGAAAAGCCAACAUAGAAAAAAGCGUGUGGAUGUUCCUGCCCUCCAUCCACUUGUCCACAGUUGACCUUGACUCAGUGACAGUUCUUCCCGAUGACUGCCCGCCCACCCCUCUGCCUCACCUCACAAGCACUGAGCUCACUUCCUGCUGGUCAUCUUUGUUGCCUGAUACCAAAUAACUGCUCUCCUCUUCCAUUUCUAGUAACUCACUGCAAAAGUCUCCAUUCAUCAACCAAAGACUAGAGGGGGGAGACAAGGCAAAAACACUUUGGGACUUCUCCAUCUGAGUGCUUCUGUGAUUCAUUGUGUGUUCUAGACAGCAGCACAUGCAGUUCCAGCAAAGGAAGGGGAGCAAAAAUACCUUGUAGACCACUUUUGGGGUCCCCUGGCUUUGCCUUUCCUUUUCUACAUCUGCCACAGGCCAAUUGGCUUUCAGCUGCUGCUCCUGUUUUUAGUACACAUACUCCCCUUCCCACCCUCAGCUGCUACGCUGGGAUUGGGGGUCUGGUGAGACACAGAGAGGAAGACUUCCAACUAGCACAGUCGUAGCUUGAUCUCCAGGGCCCAUAGUGUCUGGAGACUCUUUGCAAGUCUCUCGUUCAGGAAGACCAGAGCUUUUGCUUUCUUCAUAGUGGGCUGUCCCACUCCCAAUCAUAGUUCUUUCCUGAGUAGUCAGACUCCCCCAGGGAAAGUGUGCGUGUGAGUAUCCUCAGAGGAGAGACAGGAGACUUAGAAAGACCCUGGGGGCUCAGACAAACAGACAUGGAAAGACAAAAGAGCUAUAACACUUACACAAAUAUCAUGCCCCCGAAGCCAGGAUCAUACAGCGACUAGCUAGAGACAGACAGAUAGUGUGAAUCAACUUGGAGAAAUACUUGGAUGGUAUCCUAGAUUCAAGAAGGCAUCAAUCAUGGAGCAGCCACGGGAAAUCCUAUGCCUCAGAGACAAUUUCAUGCUGUGAGUGGCAAGAACACAGACUUGCAGUGGGUAUAGAUGUUGUUUACCUGUGUGUCAUUUGUGGGUUGGUUUUUAACCUCUGAGACAAGUACCCAGCUGCUGCCCUGCCCCACGAUUUGAGCAGUAGAAUAGGUCAAAGAAUAAGCAGGUGAGAACACAUGGUUUUCAGCACACCUCUGAGUAGUAGAAAAACUGGAAGGAGCCUUGCUUUGGCAUCGAGGGGAAUGACUGGAGUCGGGAUACCCGAUCGUAUCCCAGGUUAUAGGAAGAAAUCAGGGCCCUGGGAUCAAGGCGGACUUUGUGCUAAAUGGGUGGAAAAGGCAGAGCUGAUUCUCAUCUUUAUCCUAUAAAUCAGAAAUAUGACUUAUUACACAGGCCUGGAGGCUUCUUGUAACCAGGCUCCAGAUACUGUGUUAUAUAAAACUCUCAGUAAAUAGAUCUACCAGCAAACAUCACAGGCCUACUCUGUGCCAGACCCCCAAAAGGAAUAACCUGCUAGAGAUGCUCAGUGGCAGUGAUAGGAGCCAGCCCUUCUUCCAGCCGCUUCUCAAACUAAUUGCCAAUACCCUGCUACCAGCCCAUGAGUUGUCAGUAUCCAGUGGUGAAGGCUGCUCUUGAUCUGUCGAGCAGGGGAGAGGAAGAGGCCCUUUCAGGAAUGCAGUCCUUGCAGGCUACUUCCCUGCCUGUAAGAUUCCGAAGGUCUGAGGCAAAGCCCAGGAAGUGGUCCAGCUAAAAAGCUUCGGGCUGUAUUCCCCUGGGAGAGAGAAGUUGCUAGAGAGGAUUUUCAUUUUUACAGCCUUCAUUCCCACUGCAGGGGAGGGGAUGGCAGACACUGAGAAAAAGUUUGAAUCGAGAAGGAAGCAUUUAACUAGAUGUAUUUUAAACUUUCUGCUCUUUAAUAGUCAUUCGCUAUUGUACCUCAAGAAAUAUUACUGAAAAACGCUUGAAGGCAUGAGUUAAGACUGUAGUGAUUCCUAACAUCAACUGUUUCUACUCUGUUUUUCCUCCAAAGGUUUUCCACUGGCUGGAAUUUUAAAUCUGAGCAGCGGUUCAAAGGCUAAGAGACAAACUGCUCAUUACUGGAAAGAGUGCCAAGAAUCCUAGGAAGUCGACCUCACUCCCCACUGGAACACUACACCUCGUAGACGCACUUGUAUGUCAACAAGAACUUUGCUCCUUAUGCGUUUUCACUCCUGCUUGCUCCUUCCUGAAAAUAGAGUUGUUUGGUUUAAUCCAGGGAAGUCAGAGGGUUGGUGUAAGACACAUAUAGCAACAAAACUAUGCUGGUGAAACAAAGCUUUGUGACUGCCAAGUAUCCAGAGAAAAAUAGAAGAAUAAAAGAACCCAGUAUUCA